ACCCGCGGGCGCAGCUCUCAUUGGCUGCCAGGAGGUCAGGUUAGGCGGGGCUCUGUGUGCCUCCGCCCCUUCCAUGUGACCCCGGAGCGCACAAACUUCCGGCUCACCCGCGCGCCGCGCCCCGCCCCUACCGUGACGAUUCACCGCCGCUCAGCAUUGGUUGGAGUCUGACCACGUGUGUUUGUAUUCUGGCUAACAGGAGCUGCCCCUUUGAGGACAAUGUGGGGCUGAAGGUGGUGUUUGAAGAUGACAGAGUUGUGUGGGGGAAGUGUUGCUUCUGUAUGCAGAGAUUGGAAGACUCAUGAAUUAGCCUGUAUCUACACUACGGGUGCUGCAGCGGCAGAGCUGCAGCUAUGCAUCUGUGGCACCAUAGCAUAGACACUUCCUACAGCAACUGAAGGGUAUGGGUCCCAUUCAGUCUAACAACUGGAACUGACAGAUGCUGUGUUUUAUGGAGACCAUGUUUCUCUGGCAUGCAACUGCCAAAGCUGCUGCCAGGGGGUGAUGUCACGUGUUUCAAGGGUGGCUUUUUGCCCACAGAAGAUAGUGGCAGCUUGCUAUUACAAGCAGAAGGAGUAAAGGCCAGCACCUUGCGGACACAGAGACAUGGAUUUAGUUGAUGUGUUUUUCCCCUGUGGAGAUCAGAGCUGGAUCAGGACUACAAGCAUAGAGUGGUGGGAAUCCAUUAUGAUGGAAAUAUGCAAUGACCAGCAGUGGGCCCCAGACUCUCAUACGAGGAAAGCAACAUUCCUUUAGCUGUGUGAGAAGCUUACCCCAAUCCUUGGACUCCAGUACACCUGAAUGAAAGAGGCAAUAACACUCCAGAAACAAGUUGCUAUUGCCCUAUGAAAACUGGAACCUUGGACUGCUGUAGAUCUGUUGGUAACUGAUUCAAAGAUGGCUAAUCCACAGUUGGCAUCAUGAACAGGCAAUUAUCACUCUACUGGUAAAAGUUGCCACAAAAAGCUGAGCAGCACUGGUAUGGGUAAUAGACAUCUAUCUGUCUAGACACUUCAUGGCCCCUUCUUGUUGCUGUAGCCAAAAACCUCACAAACACCCCUGUGAGGUGGAAUAGUGCUGUUAUCCUCAUUUUAUAGGUGGGGGACUGACGCACAGAGACAGUAAGUGACUUAUCCAAGCUCACCCAGCCUGUGGUGGAGCAUGACAUUGAAUCCAGUUUACUAUUAUUUUUUAUUUGGAUUUAAGUAGAGGCACCAGUCAGAGAUCAGGGCCCAAUUGUCCUAUCGCCAUUUAAGGGUAUGUCUACAUUACAAGUGCUACAGCAGUGCAGCUGUAGCACUGCAGCUAUGCCACAAUGGUGCUGCAGGUAGGUGUUUGCUACAGCGACGGAAGAGCUGUUUCUGUUGCUGUAGUAAAUCUACUCCCUCAAGACACAGUAGGUAGGUCGACAGAAUUCUUUCGUCGACGUAGCAAUAUCUAUAGCGGGACUUAGGUCGGCUUAACUACAUCUCUCAGGGGUGUGAAUUUUUGAGGGAUGUAGCUAGGUCAACCUCAGUUGUUGAUAUUAAAAAUCAGCACUAGGAAUCAGGAAAUCUGGGCGUAAAUCCCAGCUCUGUGCCGUACUACCUUUGUGACACUAGGGAACAUUUUUACGGAGGUAACUGUCCAUUCUAGGCAGAUAAGGCCUGAGCUACACUCAGAUUUUGUACAGUAUAACUUACAGUUAGGGGUGUGGGGUUUUUUUCUGAAGUGAUUAUAAUGGUACAACCUCUGGGAUGGAUGCAGUUAUGCCAGUACAAGUAGAUGGGAAUAACCUAUAUAACAUUUAUAGUUGUGAUAAGCACAUUUAACAGGUAUAACUGUACCCACACUAAGGGGCUGGUAGUUAAAGUGGUGCAGACAUGGUCUUGUGGGGAUGGAAAGUGAGAGCUUUAUGUUGUGACGUUUCACCACGGUGCUUUGACUGUAUCACAGUGAUUCCUUUGAAACAACCUCCAUUCCCCUCACGCAAUCUUAAUAUGUUCCCCUCCAAGAUAAAUCCAUUGAACCUCACACAAAUAUGAGACAGGUUAAAUGAAUAAAAUCAAGUAAAAUGUG